AGAUGAAAACAUUGAGGUCAGUCAGAACAUAGUUGUUUGUAUUUAGAUAUAGAAUGUUGUUGUGUCAGAGAUAUUUAUUUAGUUGUAAGCCUGAUUAAAUCUGUUAUCAUUUGCAAUAAAUCUCAUUCCUUGCCAAACAAAGAGUUUCAAUUCAUGCCUUUUUCAGUUGGGGCUGAGUGGUAGCCUGCCAAUAAUGGGUUUAUGAGUUCAAAUCAUUAAUGUGGCAGUUGUGCUCGACUCUAAUCUUAAUUGAACAGGAUUGUCAAUUUUCCUACUGACUGUUGGUGGUUCUCUUGAUGCACAC
rnacentral:lncRNA from 1 species